ACACCUCAACUCUCAUGGUUCGCCGUGAUGAGCUUGGACUUUGGGGGUCUUGCCGGCAUACCGUCGGCUCCUCUCAAAUGAAUCAGCUUUCCAGUGUUUGGUGGCGUCACGGGUGUGAUAAAUAUCUACGCUCGUGGUCUCCCACCAGGUAACCUUCAGCAAUGGAGGUUCGCUGGAGCUCACAAAUGUCUCUCCUCAGCGAAGACAGCUUUUUGAAC
rnacentral:misc_RNA from 1 species